rnacentral:lncRNA from 1 species
GAUGCCUUAAAUGUGAUAUCGAUAUGAAUUUUUAUUCAUUCAUAAUGUCUCGAUGACCCAAAAGGAAUUAAUGGAUAUUGUUUGUUUUAAAAAUGUUGCAAGUUCUUGGAUGCCUCGAUGACCCUACAUGAAACACUAUGAACGAUUCAUUCAUAGUGUAAAAGUUGCAUGAUGCCAUAGAUAUUGGUAUGAAUUUUUAUUCAUAAUAUAAAGGAUGGAUCUGUUGUGCUCUUAUGACCCUGAGUGUAAUUCUUGUAAAUUCCCACAAUGAGAUGGAACAUAGGAUGCCUGAAUGACCCGAAAGGAAUAUGAAUCAUGGAUAUUAUUUGUUCCAUAAAUUUUUGAGGUAUUGGAUGCCUGAUUUGACCCUAAAAGGAACAUUAUUAACACUUCGAUGAUAUGAAUUUGAGUUCAUAAUAUAAAGGUUUGUAUUCGUUGUGCUUUUAUGACCUUGAAUUCAUUUUUAGACCGUGAUUUGUCAUUUCAUGCUAUGUGGGAAACCUUAAUGAUCCAAAAAGAUAUAUGAAUUUUAUAUGCUCCAUUAAUUUACUGUAGUGCUUUUUCGUAAUAUAAAGGUUUGUACUCAUUGUGCUUUUAUGACCUUUUUGCCACUGCUAUAUGGGUUGCUUCAAUACUUCUCUAUUUUUGUCUUUGAAGGUUCUGAUAUGUUUUAAAGAAGGUGAAACACGCUCCUUUCAUCUUCUUUAAAAAACGGAAUAUAAAAAAUUUGCAGUUUCACCUUCAACGGUAACAUCUCUACACUUUUUCAGGUUUUAAUUCUUGAAUUUUUUAAUAGUGGAAUUGGUAGUACCAGAAUGAUUCAGCAAACUCUGCUUUUGUAUGGAUACCCUUUUGGCACCGAUGUCUUGAAAGAUAAUUUAUUCGUUGGGCUAGGUAAUGGAAUUUUCACAAACCCUUCUGGUUUUUUAAUAACCGGUACAUGUUGUUAGGCUACUAACCAUUUUCACAAGAACCUUCAAUUCUCUGCUUCAUACAAAUAUAGACAAAUCCUUCGUAUACGAGCCUAAAUUUUAAAACGGUUAGGGUGCCUUGACAACCCUAAAGGAAUGAAUCUGUAGAAAUUUAUUGUUGGAUGGUUAGAUGAAUCUAAAAGGAAUACCGUGGCCACUAUAUUCACAAUGUAAUCCAUUACUCGAUGACCGAAAGGAAUUAAUGUAUACUAUUUGUUUAAAAAAUGGUGCAAAUGUUUGGAUGCCUCGAUACCCUAAAGGAAACACGAUGAACAAUUCAUUCAUAGUGCAAAAGUUGCUUAUUGCCCUAAAUGUGAUAUUGGUAUGAAUUUGUAUUCUUAAUAUAAAGGAUGGAUCCAUUGUGCUCUUAUG